AAAAAAAGGGGGCUGAGAAGUGAGAAAGAAAUACACAAUAUAAAUUGUUUGAGCUAAGUAAGAAAAUUGUUUUGAACUAUACUACACUUCCCUUGGCAUGUACCAAAUACGUGGAGUACAAGAUUUCUUCUGAAAUCUUCUGUGUAGUAUCACCCAGAAAACAAACAAAAUAACAAUAAUAAUGAAAACAACAAUUUGUGUAUCUUUUCUUUCAAUUCAUUCACUUCCUCAAGGUUUGCAUGAUGUACUCGGCGUAAAGGUCCCUACACAGU
rnacentral:lncRNA from 1 species